CCGAACCGACUAAUGUUGAAAAAUUAGCGGAUGACCUGUGGCUGGGGGUGAAAGGCCAAUCAAACCGGGAGAUAGCUGGUUCUCCCCGAAAGCUAUUUAGGUAGCGCCUCGUGAAUUCAUCUCCGGGGGUAGAGCACUGUUUCGGCUAGGGGGCCAUCCCGGCUUACCAACCCGAUGCAAACUGCGAAUACCGGAGAAUGUUAUCACGGGAGACACACGGCGGGUGCUAACGUCCGUCGUGAAGAGGGAAACAACCCAGACCGCCAGCUAAGGUCCCAAAGUCAUGGUUAAGUGGGAAACGAUGUGGGAAGGCCCAGACAGCCAGGAUGUUGGCUUAGAAGCAGCCAUCAUUUAAAGAAAGCGUAAUAGCUCACUGGUCGAGUCGGCCUGCGCGGAAGAUGUAACGGGGCUAAACCAUGCACCG
rnacentral:rRNA from 2 species